UGUUUUAUUUUAAAAUGUACACACACAGUUCAGUCUCGUAUACGUGUAGUUAAAUAACUUUUUCAAUCGGUACCAACGGGGCACACAUUGCAAAGCAUGCAUCUCUCCGACUUUGUCUUCAGGGGCCCGCGUGCCCGCCCCAGAAGCAUCUUCAGUUCCCAGUGUCUGUGUGUCCUUCCAGGGAGUAGCUUAGGAACACACAAGCAGAAAUGCACAGAUAGAAAUACAUAUUCCUCAAAAGAUCAGCGGGAGGGGCCUUCAUGGGUCUCCUGCACCCACUUGGCUUGAAAAAUUCUCUCAAACCGUCACCCCAGUCUCAUCAUGAGAAAAACAUCAGACCAAUCCCAAUGCAGGCGCAUCCUGCAGCUCCGUGACCAGCAAGCCUCGAAACUGUCAAGGUCACCUGCCUCGAAACUGUCAAGGUCAUCAAAUCAAAACCAAGGUGAUCAGAGAAGGUUUCUUUGAGGGUGACAUUUGAGCAAAGACGUGAAUAAAGAGACAGUUGGAGCCAUGUGGAGAUGUGAGGAGGAGGGUUCCAGGCCAGGGGACCCGUACGUGCCAAGGCCCUGAGAGCACACAAUUUAACCCAGGACAGCAGGGAGACAGCACCCCAGGCCGAGUGAAGGGGAGGACCGCACAGGCAAACGCUGGCCUGGCGAGGCACCAGAGGCUGUAGAGGAAAGCGCCUCCCACCUGUGAGAUGCCAACAAGAUACCCAGGGUCUGAAGAGUCUUAAAAGAAAAGCAAGGAGCGGGGGUAUGAUAUCCGACCAAAGAGCAAACGCCCGAGCCACUUGGCACUGCACUCUAACUGGGAGGCUGAGCACACAAAUUAGAUGUUUGUAAGAAUAAACAGUCAUUAGAACUCGAGAACUAGAGGAGAAAUAAACAUCAUUUCAAGAUA